rnacentral:rRNA from 1 species
UUGGAGGGCAAGUCUGGUGCCAGCAGCCGCGGUAAUUCCAGCUCCAAUAGCGUAUAUUAAAGUUGUUGCAGUUAAAAAGCUCGUAGUUGAAUUUUAGGCCUGGCCGGGCGGUCCGUCUUUGGCGAGUACUGUUCUGUGUCGGGUCUUACCUUCUGGUAAACCGGCAUGUUCUUUUAUUGUGUGUGCCGUGGGAACCAGACCAUUACCUUGAAAAAAUUAGAGUGUUUAAAGCGGGCUUUUGCUUGAAUAGAUUAGCAUGGAAUAAUAAAAUAGGACGUUGGUUCUAUUUUGUUGGUCUAGGACCACCGUAAUGAUUAAUAGGGAUAGUUGGGGGCAUUAGUAUUCAAUUGUCAGAGGUGAAAUUCUUGGAUUUAUUGAAGACUAACUUCUGCGAAAGCAUUUGCCAAGGAUGUUUUCAUUAAUCAAGAACGAAAGUUAGGGGAUCGAAGACGAUCAGAUACCGUCGUAGUCUUAACCAUAAACUAUGCCGACUAGGGAUCGGAUGAUGUUAAUUUUUUAAUGACUCAUUCGGCGCCUUACGGGAAAC